CCCAUCCACGACCCCCCGCCGCCGCCCCUCGACGCGUUCUGCCGCGCCGCUGUCGACGUCCUUCUCACUCCUCCACUCCACCCGCCGGAUCUUCCUCGCAUCGAGCACGGAAAGCCAACGGCCCUCACCUCUGCCGCAGGCCACACCGUGCAUCUCCAUCCUCUUUCUGCCGCCGGAUCCACAUGACGCAGGCCUCCGCUGAGACCACCCUAGCCUCCCUUGGCCAUAGCUGCCGCGUGCGCCUCAUCUCGGUCCGGCCAACCCCGGCCCCCGUCCCGCCUCCCAGACGUCUGCCCCCGCCGCUUGUUGCGUCUGCAUCAGCCGAGCUGAGCACCGAGCCUGUGUCCGCUACAUACUUCUGUUGACUAACAAUCUGUUACUCCAAUCAUGCACCUCUUCAGUUAUACUAUUAUCAACUAUUGGAUUGACAGGGGGUAUAUGGUAGUAGUAUGGAUAAGCAGUCUGCAUAUCAAAAUCCUUGGAGCAAUGGACAGCCAAAAAUAGCAUAUGUAUCAUAUUGACCUUUGCAUAGACUUCUGUAAUACAGCCAGUCAUUAUGAUCCUUCUACACUACUUGUGUAUGCCAUCUAUUUUUAGCCUGGUGAGUGGUGGCAAAAUAGCUUGGGUUAUUCAUGUAUUUUGUGCCACUUUGGAAGUUUUCCCGCAUAGCUAACUGAACAGCAAACACUUCUCCAACUUACUGAAAAAGAGCCUGAUUAUCAGUCUGGAUUUUGGAACUUGUUUUGGCUUAGAUUUUGAAAAGAUCAGUUGAAAAUAAAACUCGACAUAUAUUCCGUCUA